GGUUUUUCGUUAAUUAAUGAAAAAUCUGACCUGCCCUAUGAGAUUAUAAAUGGCCGCAGUAUUUUGACUGUGCUAAGGUAGCGUAAUAAUUAGUUCUUUAAUUGGGGACUUGGAUGAAGGGUUUGACGAGGAAUAGUCUGUUUUUAUAGUUGUAUAUUAAAAUUAAUUUAAGUGUGAGGAGGCACUUGUGGAUUUGAGGGACGAGAAGACCCUAUCGAGUUUUAUUAGUAAUAAAUUAUUAUGAAUCAUAUUAAAUAAAUUUUUAGUGUUUAUUAUUAAUUUUACUGGGGCGGUAGUGAGAGAUUUUAAUCUUUUGUUAGGUUGAUUGAAAUUAAUAUAUUAGUGAUUUUAUGAUCCAGUGUGUUUUGGUGUACUGAAAAUGGGAUUAAAUUACCGUAGGGAUAACAGCGUUAUUUUUUUGGAGAGUUCUUAUUGAUAAUUAAAUUUGCGACCUCGAUGUUGAAUUAGGAUGUCUGUUAGGCGAAGGAGCUUAAUAAGAAAGUCUGUUCGACUUUUGAAAUUCUACA
rnacentral:rRNA from 1 species